CCUACGGGUGGCAGCAGUGGGGAAUAUUGGGCAAUGGGCGCAAGCCUGACCCAGCAACGCCGCGUGAAGGAAGAAGGCUUUCGGGUUGUAAACUUCUUUUCUCAGGGACGAAGCAAGUGACGGUACCUGAGGAAUAAGCCACGGCUAACUACGUGCCAGCAGCCGCGGUAAUACGUAGGUGGCAAGCGUUAUCCGGAUUUACUGGGUGUAAAGGACGUGUAGGCGGGGACGCAAGUCAGAUGUGAAAACCACGGGCUCAACCUGUGGCCUGCAUUUGAAACUGUGUUUCUUGAGUGCUGGAGAGGCAGGCGGAAUGCCUAGUGUAGCGGUGAAAUGCGUAGAUAUUAGGAGGAACACCAGUGGCGAAGGCAGUAUGCUGGACCCCAACUGACGCUGAGGCGCGAAAGCGUGGGGAGCGAACAGGAUUAGAUACCCUUGUAGUC
rnacentral:rRNA from 1 species